AGCUACAAAAUAAAAUAAGAGAGCAAAAGCUUUCAAAUUUGCACAUAAAAAGGAAAGUAAAUGUAGUGUGCAAAAUGUCUUCAACUCCGCGUCAACAUUCCGCCGAUGAUGAAGAAGAAGGAGAAAGAAACGUGUGGGCUUACUUCAAAGUUUUUCAGAAAAGUUCUGGAAACAUUUUCCCUUUUAGCAAAAUUCGACAGGCGCCAAUAUCAAGGUGAAAGUAACCAGGUUUUCCCGAGACGAUUUUCCAUCUGGCCCAAAUUGCAUUUGAAGAAUUUCUUUUGCAAUACAUGUGUAUGUACUAUAUAAAUAUACGCACUUGCAAGUAUUUACCUAUGACAGAGUGCUGACGUGUGGAUGUAUGUAGCUCCUCCAAGGCUGAAUCAUUCGAUCUGCACAACAUAAGCCCAAGAGACAUGAACGAGGAAAUAAAAAAAGAAGAAACGAUGCAUCCGUCCGUCCCAAACGAUCCCAAGAAAUAUCAUUACGUCGGCAGCAAACAUUUUCCAAAUAGAGUUUCAAAAUAUUGUACAUGGGAAAAGAAGCAUGCGGAUAAAACGUUUUAUGAUGGGUCUUGGGCGUUUUAUGUAUGUCGAGAGUAUUUCAUUUCAUGUACUGUGCAGAAUCGUUACAAUUUUAAAAAUGAGAUUACGUGUGUAUCAGCAUACACUUGUGAAAAAAAUCUACUCACAAGGCUUGCAAAUAAUUUGCUGAAAUGUCAAACACUAGUAAAAGAAUGUAUUCGUUUUAUUAAAAUAAGUCCCAAAUCCUAAAAUAGUUUUUAACAAAUAAUUUUCUGUAUGCAACACAUUCUUAUUUAAUAACUUGCCAAUUACAGAUACAGGAAAAAAUAAGUACAUGUAAUAACAAUUAUCAUAAAUAUGUAUGUAUUUAGAACAAGUCUGUACGUAAAUAUCUUUCCACAACCUCCUUUUCCGUCGUCGUCAUCGUCGUCGAUAAAGUACAAUAAUACAUUUGUCUUCAACUUAUAUCUUAUCCAAUAAAUCUUAAAAA